ensembl:lncRNA
CAUGGGCCCUGUAGGGCUUGGAUGAGAUCCAGAAACAUGCCUGUGGCCCCUAGAUAGUGGCAGGGAGGGGACUGAGAGGCAACAUGCCAAUCAGGGCAUCACUGUGAUGGUAGGCAAGGGGACUCCCUGACAUUAUCCCUGACAGGAGCUGAGGAGGGAGGGGUGCAGUGUAAGGGACCAGGUUGAGAGAAUGGCUGAACAUCUUCCAAGGGACUGUGGCCCCUUGACUGCUCAGAUGGCUCCUUACCCCCUAGUUGCAGGGCCUGGCUCAGGCCAGGAGGGGCUGAGAUUGAGCUCAGUAGCCAGGACUCACUCACUGGUCUGGCUUCUCUUAUUUCCAUCCAGAUGACCUCUCCUCACCACACUAAUUUCCAGUAAGCCACUGGGGUCAGGACUAGUUCCCAGUAGUGGAUGAUGUGGAGAGCAGCCUGAGAGCCUGUCAGUUCUUUCUUCAGCACCAAGGCAAGUUAAUGUGCAACAUUUGGCCAUUGGUCACUGGAGGGCCAGCUGGAGAGUAGGCGGCCCCAGCACUGUCAUGGGAGGUCCCAAUAUCACUCCCCUUUUCCUCUCUGACCAAAAUAAUAAAUUAUUUCUUCUCUGCCUUAGACCUGGGAGUGGAGAACACUGCUGAGGUAGUGGACAGAUGACCCACAAAGUCCCCAAGACUCAAGUCUGAUGAAGAGAACAAUACAUCCCGGCAUUAUAGAUAACCUUUCCUUCCUUCUCUACCUAAACAAUACUACAUUCUUCAGAGGCCUAUGGAAUCAGAAAUCACAGGAGCCCACACGAAGUCCUCACUUACCUCACUUACACAGUUUUUCAAGACCCAGUGUGCUGGCACAAAUCCGUAAACUGGAUCAGACAGAAGGCAAUUUCUGGAAGAGAGAAAUAAGCAUCUGGACAAUUUUUAUAAACACCCCCUUGGCACCAGGAUGGUGUGCUUGCUGCUGACGUGUUUUGGCCAGUACAUGACCACUCUAAAGAGAAGCAUGCUGGGUAUGAAGGCCAGGCUUGUCCUGAGUCCCACUGAGUAGGGGAGGAGGGGAAAAAAACUUUCUUGCUUCCUACAAAUCCUGAAGCAAGGGAAUGAUCAGUUUGGUUGACAGAGAAAGACUAGAGGGGGUACAAUGUUGCAGCGAUGGUCCAAGUUUCUCCUGGUGAGAGGAAACAGUCUCAGGUCCUCCCAGUUGGAGGAAGGGAUGCAGUCCUCCCUAGCACAGCAUCCUGUCUGUAGCUGGAAGCCCUGGUCCCUCUUAGACGAGGCUUUAAGAGCAAACGUGGCACCUACUUUUAGGAAGCCUGGGGUCUGAUGGGGAAAACUGUUGCUGUCCUCAGGGACCUCAGAAGUAGAAAUGUGGUUGGAAAUAUCAUCCUGGAUAGGAGCUUCUGGGGGGAAACCAGGAAUUGCUUGCUUUUCCAAAACAGUUUCCAGGCAGCUUCUUUCUGUAGGGGGACCUUUCCUGUCUCCAGCGAUCUGAGGGGAAGCAAGACAUUGAAUCCAUUCCUCAGCUAAGGCCUUUCUGUUCUUAUAGGCCAAAAUAAAAGGGACUCAACCUCCUGGUGUCA